UACGGAGGGGGCUAGCGUUGUCCGGAAUUACUGGGCGUAAAGGGCGCGUAGGCGGUCCUAUAAGUCAGAUGUGAAAGCUCCGGGCUCAACCCGGGAAUUGCAUCUGAUACUGUAGGACUUGAGUUCGGUAGAGGAGGGCGGAAUUCCAGGUGUAGCGGUGAAAUGCGUAGAUAUCUGGAGGAACACCCGUGGCGAAGGCGGCUCUCUGGUCCGAAACUGACGCUGAGGUGCGAAAGCUAGGGUAGCAAACAGGAUUAGAAACCCCAGUAGU
rnacentral:rRNA from 1 species